rnacentral:rRNA from 1 species
UCCGCCCGGGAACUACGAGCAUUAGCUUAAAACCCAAAGGACUUGGCGGUGCUUUAGACCCCCCUAGAGGAGCCUGUUCUAGAACUGAUAACCCCCGUUAAACCUUACCCUCUUUUGUUUAAUCAGCCUAUAUACCGCCGUCGUCAGCUUACCCUGUGAAGGCACAUUACAGUAAGCACAAGUGGCACAGCCAAAAACGUCAGGUCGAGGUGUAGCCAAUGAGAGGGGAAGAAAUGGGCUACAUUCUCUGCCU